rnacentral:rRNA from 1 species
CCCCCAGUAACUGCGAGUGAAAAGGGAAGAGCCCAGCGCCGAAGCCGCCGUCCACAAAUGGGCGGAGGGCAAUGUGGCGUUUGGGAGGAGUCCAACGUGACCAGACGUUUCGUUGAUCGUGCCGCCGAAGCCCGAGUCCCCCUGACCGGGGCCACAGCCCAUGGCGGGUGCAAGGCCUCUUCGGCUUCGUUUGACGGUUCGGAGGUUUCGGACUCCUCCUCAGAGUCGGGUUGCUUGAGAGUGCAGCUCUAAGCGGGUGGUAAACUCCAUCUAAGGCUAAAUAUUACCAUGAGACCGAUAGCGAACAAGUACCGUGAGGGAAAGUUGCAAAGAACUUUGAAGAGAGAGUUCAAGAGUACGUGAAACCGCUCGGAGGCAAACGGAUGGGCCCUCGAAGGUCGAACGGGGGGAUUCAGCGCGUCGGCUAAACAGACCGCUUUCCAAUUCCAGUUGAAAAGCAUUCGUGCGAAACGGAUCCUCCUCGCGGGGACCGGGCUGGUGGAAAAGCGGCGGCCGGCGCGUGCACUUCCCCCUCAGUAGGACGCCGCGACCGGUCGGGUCAAAAAAGGCGGCCAUGCGGCGAGAAAACCACGGGGCAGGUGUCCGUCACCGUGCGGGUCUUUGUUCGGAGGGCUUCGCGGCUCUUUCGGCAAAGCCGGCGGUCGGAGUUAUAGCCUCUUCUCGACCCGUGCCCCGCCACCCGACCGACAAAAGGUCACGAACCGAUGACGCGCGCCCGCACUCAGGUGCUCGCCCUAGUCCCGUGCAGGCAGGAUGCGCGAGUAAAAGCCCCUCUCGUCCGGAAACGGCGAAGGGGUCCGACGGACGCCGGUCCAACAAACCGAAAAGGCGGCCGCCGGCUCCGCGUCUGCUGCUGGCACACGGGGAAACGGACUCUGGCGUGGUGGCAAAAAAACAAAAAAAAGCGCUCGCGGUCGGCGGCGAGUANNNNNNNNNNNNNNNNNNNNNNNNNNNNNNNNNNNNNNNNNNNNNNNNNNNNNNNNNNNNNNNNNNNNNNNNNNNNACGAAGCUAAACCCGACGGCGCAAUGAAAGUAAAGGCCGCCGAACCGCUCUCCUCACGGGGAGCAGGUGAGGACCAAAAAACGGCCGAGGCGAGAUCCCUCAGCUCCCUCAUAGAAAAACAAAAACGUGUGGAGAAAAAAAAACCGGGCGUAGCAGGCACGUCUCUCUCCUUCGGGGGAGAGGCGGCCCGGUGGCGCAUCGCCGGCCCGUCUCGAUCGCUGCCUCCGCAACCUCUUCGGGGGUUCGGGGGAGACCAGCUCGACGAGGCGGAGCAAGAGCACACACGUUGGGACCCGAAAGAUGGUGAACUAUGCCCGGGCAGGACGAAGCCAGAGGAAACUCUGGUGGAGGUCCGCAGCGAUUCUGACGUGCAAAUCGAUCGUCGGACCUGGGUAUAGGGGCGAAAGACUAAUCGAACCGUCUAGUAGCUGGUUCCCUCCGAAGUUUCCCUCAGGAUAGCUGGCGCUCAAAAACUUUUGGAGACAAGAGUCUGAAACAGUCUCAUCCGGUAAAGCGAAUGAUUAGAGGCCUUGGGGCCGAAACGGCCUCAACCUAUUCUCAAACUUUCAAUGGGUGAGAUGUCCGGCUUGCUCAAACGAAGCACGGACGUCGGAUGCGAGUGCCCAGUGGGCCACUUUUGGUAAGCAGAACUGGCGCUGUGGGAUGAACCAAAAGCCGGGUUACGGCGCCCGAUGCUGACGCUUACAAGACCCCAUGAAAGGUGUUGGUUGCUAUAGACAGCAGGACGGUGGCCAUGGAAGUCGGAAUCCGCUAAGGAGUGUGUAACAACUCACCUGCCGAAGCAACUAGCCCUGAAAAUGGAUGGCGCUCCAGCGUCGAGCCUAACCCCGGCCGUCGGAAAGGCAGAAAACCGCUCUUUCCGCAAGGAAAAGAGAGAGAGUCGAAGCCCCGACGAGUAGGAGGGUCGCGGUGGCGAGCGUAGAAGGGUCGGGCGCAAGCCCGCCUGGAGCCGCCACCGGUGCAGAUCUUGGUGGUAGUAGCAAAUACUCGAGUGAGAACCUUGAGGACUGAAGUGGAGAAGGGUUCCAUGUGAACAGCAGUUGAACAUGGGUCAGUCGGCCCUAAGGAAUAGGGGAAACCCGUUCCGAAAAAGUGCCGGAACAAAAACAUGCAAAAAAUAUGACCGGCAACUUUUGACCGAAAGGGAAUCGGGUUAAUAUUCCCGAACCCGGAUGCGGAGAUCGACCCCUCUGCCCCCGUUGCCUGAUCCUUCGCGGGAGACUGGUACUCGGGGCGCACCGCGGGUCUGAAGCGGCAACGCGUAACGAACUCGGAGAAUGCCGGCGGGGGUCCCGGGAAGAGUUUUCUUUUCUUUGUAAAGGACGGACUCCCUGGAAUCGGCUCGCCCGGAGAGAGGGAUGUUGUUCCUGUAAAGCACCGCGGCUCUUGCGGUGUCCGGAGCACUCCCGUCGGCCCUUGAAAAUCCGAGAGAGUGAAAAAAGAUUUCCGCACCGGACCGUACCCAUAUCCGCAG